rnacentral:sRNA from 1 species
GUGAUGGUUGGGGCAAGUGGAUUAUUUUCCAGUCCGUUUCUGUGUGCCUUUGGUGGUUUUCAAAAGGGAAAAAGAAAUCGCCAGGAAGCUGGAGUUUGAUGGCCUAUAUAUCACCGAACAGCCAUCUGAAGAUGACAUCAAGGGGCAGUGGGACCGCUUGGUGAUCAACACACCAUCUUUUCCUAAUAACUACUGGGACAAGUUUGUAAAGAGAAAGGUGAUCAACAAGUAUGGAGAUCUCUACGGAGCAGAACGCAUUGCUGAACUUCUGGGUUUGGACAAAAAUGCUCUUGACUUUAGCCCAGUAGAAGAGACCAAAGCAGAAGCGGCUUCUCUGGUGUCAUGGCUAAGUUCCAUAGACAUGAAGUACCAUA